rnacentral:rRNA from 1 species
AGCCUCUGGCUAUAGGAAAUUGUUAGUGGCAGACGGGUGAGUAAUGCGUAGGAAUCUACCUAGUAGUACGGAAUAGCCAUUAGAAAUGGUGGGUAAUACUGUAUAAUCCCCGAGGGGGAAAGAUUUAUCGCUAUUAGAUGAGCCUACGUUAGAUUAGCUAGUUGGUGAGGUAAUGGCUUACCAAGGCUAUGAUCUAUAGCUGGUCUGAGAGGACGAUCAGCCACACUGGAACUGAGAUACGGUCCAGACUCCUACGGGAGGCAGCAGUGGGGAAUAUUGGACAAUGGGCGAAAGCCUGAUCCAGCUAUGCCGCGUGAGUGAAGAA